GAUGAACGCUGGCGGCGUGCCUAAUACAUGCAAGUCGAGCGAACGGACGAGAAGCUUGCUUCUCUGAUGUUAGCGGCGGACGGGUGAGUAACACGUGGAUAACCUACCUAUAAGACUGGGAUAACUUCGGGAAACCGGAGCUAAUACCGGAUAAUAUUUUGAACCGCAUGGUUCAAAAGUGAAAGACGGUCUUGCUGUCACUUAUAGAUGGAUCCGCGCUGCAUUAGCUAGUUGGUAAGGUAACGGCUUACCAAGGCAACGAUGCAUAGCCGACCUGAGAGGGUGAUCGGCCACACUGGAACUGAGACACGGUCCAGACUCCUACGGGAGGCAGCAGUAGGGAAUCUUCCGCAAUGGGCGAAAGCCUGACGGAGCAACGCCGAGUGAGUGAUGAAGGUCUUCGGAUCGUAAAACUCUGUUAUUAGGGAAGAACAUAUGUGUAAGGAACUGUGCACAUCUUGACGGUACCUAAUCAGAAAGCCACGGCUAACUAC
rnacentral:rRNA from 1 species